AGGCUAGAGGGUGUGUGUAUAGUAAGGCUAGAGGCUAGAGGGUGUGUGUAUAGUAAGGCUAGAGGCUAGAGGGUGUGUGUAUAGUAGUGUGACAUUGAGCUGGGAGUGUAUCUGUGGGAUAACGUGAGUCAGUCACAGAGACUCCCAGUACCCUUAGGGUAUCAGAAUGAAGUGCCCGUAGGCUGCAGGGAGUCGGGCAGGGCUGGGACACACGGGGUUACACGUCUGAGCCAGGUGCUGAGCAUUUGCACUUCCUGUGCGACCUGCUCGGCUGCUUGUGCCCCUUUC